UCCUGAGCUACAGCCCCAGCAGAAAAUAUUCUGGGUUCUUCUUUUCUUUCUUUAAAAUGUACUAUUAUCUCUGUGUGUGUGUGUGUGUGUGUGUGUGUGUGUGUAUGUGUGUGUUAGAGAGUGGAAGAGGGUCGUAGGAUAACUUCAGAACUUGAUUCUUGCCUUCCAGUGUGGGACCUGAGCCUGGGGAUCAAACUCAGGGUGUCAGGUUUUUGAGGCAAGUGCCAAUGAGACAUCCUGCUGGCUCAUUUCAUCCCUACCCCCACCUUUUUAGGUGGGACCUCAUGUAGCUUAGGCUGGCCUUGAACUCUCAUUUAGGGGAGGAUUAUGCUGAAUCUCUGGCCUGGGCUCCUCAAGUGAUUUGGGGCUGUGUGUGCCGUCACCACACCCACACCCACCUCCAACUUCCACACUAAACAACCUUAACUGAGUGAAGCUUGUAUAGAAAAAAAUUUCUCAACUGCAGUGUAAAAUUGUUUAGUAUUUAUUUAUUGUAUGUGAGCGUGUGUGUGUGUGAGCAUGUGUGUGUGUGCCAUGGUUCGUGUGUGGUGGUAAGAAGACGAUUGCGGGACUGGAGAGAUGGCUCAGCAAUUAAGAGCACCGACUGCUCUUCUAGAGGUCCAAGUUCAAAUCCCAGCAACCACAUGGUGGCUCACAAACAUCUGUAAUGGGAUUAAUGCUCUAUUCUGGUGUGACUGAAGAGAGCAAUGGUGUACUCAUAUACAUAAAGUAAAUAAAUAAAUCCU
rnacentral:lncRNA from 1 species